CGGUCCAGACUCCUACGGGAGGCAGCAGUAGGGAAUCUUCCGCAAUGGGCGAAAGCCUGACGGAGCAACGCCGCGUGAGUGAUGAAGGUCUUCGGAUCGUAAAACUCUGUUAUUAGGGAAGAACAUACGUGUAAGUAACUGUGCACGUCUUGACGGUACCUAAUCAGAAAGCCACGGCUAACUACGUGCCAGCAGCCGCGGUAA
rnacentral:rRNA from 1 species